GAUGAAGAACGUAGCAAAAUGCGAUAAGUAAUGUGAAUUGCAGAAUUCAGUGAAUCAUCGAAUCUUUGAACGCACAUUGCGCCCGCCAGCAUCCUGGCGGGCAUGCCUGUCCGAGCGUCAUUACAACCCUCAGGCCCCCGGGCCUGGCGUUGGGGAUCGGCGGAGCCCCCCGUGGGCACACGCCGUCCCCCAAAUGCAGUGGCGGCCCCGCCGCAGCUUCCAUCGCGUAGUAGCUAACACCUCGCGACUGGAGAGCGGCGCGGCCACGCCGUAAAACACCCAACUCUUCUGAAGUUGACCUCGAAUCAGGUAGGAAUACCCGCUGACCUUAAGCAUAUCAAUAAGCGGAGGA
rnacentral:misc_RNA from 1 species